rnacentral:rRNA from 1 species
UACGUAGGGUGCGAGCGUUAAUCGGAAUUACUGGGCGUAAAGUGUGCGCAGGCGGCCGCGCAAGUCGAGUGUGAAAUCCCCGGGCUUAACUUGGGAAUUGCGCUCGAAACUACGUGGCUGGAGUGUGGCAGAGGAAGGUGGAAUUCCACGUGUAGCGGUGAAAUGCGUAGAGAUGUGGAGGAACACCUGUGGCGAAAGCGGCUCACUGGACCAUAACUGACGC